rnacentral:rRNA from 1 species
CGGGGCUUAAAGUCUUGUAAUUGGAAUGAUGGGAAUUUAAACCUCUUCCAGAGUAUCAAUUGGAGGGCAAGUCUGGUGCCAGCAGCCGCGGUAAUUCCAGCUCCAAUAGCGUAUAUUAAAAUUGUUGCAGUUAAAAAGCUCGUAGUUGAAUUUCUGCUGCAUUGCUUGUGUCCCUCUGGGGUCUGUGCAUGUGGCUUUUUUCGGACGGAGUUUCUUUGUCUGAAUGUUUACUUUGAGAAAAUUAGAGUGCUCAAAGCAGGCUUUCGCCCUGAAUAGUUUAGCAUGGAAUAAUAAAGUAGGACUUUGGUUCUAUUUUGUUGGUUUUAGGUACCAAAGUAAUGGUUAAUAGGAACAGUUGGGGGCAUUCGUAUUUAACUGUCAGAGGUGAAAUUCUUAGAUUUGUUAAAGACGAACUACUGCGAAAGCAUUUGCCAAGGAUGUUUUCAUUAAUCAAGAAC